rnacentral:rRNA from 1 species
GAUGAACGCUCGCGGCAGGCCUAACACAUGCAAGUCGAGGGAGGAGCCUUCGGGCUUCGACCGGCGUACGGGUGCGUAACGCGUAGACAAUCUGCCUUUCACAUAGGGAUAGCCCGAAGAAAUUUGGAUUAAUACCUAAUGGUAUAUAGAUGUGGCAUCACCUUUAUAUUAAAGCUGAGGCGGUGAAAGAUGAGUAUGCGUUCUAUUAGCUAGUUGGAGAGGUAACGGCUCCCCAAGGCGACGAUAGAUAGGGGUUCUGAGAGGGAUAUCCCCCACACUGGUACUGAGGUACGGACCAGACUCCUACGGGAGGCAGCAGUGAGGAAUAUUGGACAAUGGUCGGAAGACUGAUCCAGCCAUGCCGCGUGCAGGAAGACGGCCUUAUGGGUUGUAAACUGCUUUUGCAGGGGAAGAAUAAGGACUACGCGUAGUUUGAUGACGGUACUCAGAGAAUAAGCAUCGGCUAACUCCGUG